AAUCAGGCGUGGAAACUGGUAACAGCUAUUUGGUGUUACUUUGUAGGCCUAAUACUUUGUGUUUGUGCAAUUUUGAUGAGCGAAAAUCCUAAUGCUACUCAUGCCUGUAAACUGGAAUGGAUCCAAAGUCCUGUCCCCUUAGUUACUGUUGCUAGGUUGAAAAACUUGACAAAAAGAAACACAGCAACAAAUCAGCAGUCUGUCUAAAAAGCUGCUCUGUUUCAACACUGUUGGUCUGAUAAAACUUAUGUGCAGGCUGAAAUUCAACUUUACUAACCCUCACCAGUGGUACGUGUUGUGGGAGGAGGAGAUGAAGUAAUGGCACAACGGCUGGCUCAUGUCCUGGAAGACUCCCCGCCGCUGUGGAUUGAAGAUGGAGCCCUCAGCUGAGCCAAGGUUCUCAAUCAGCUUCCUCAUGCCUCUGAUCCAGGACUGUGCUUCCUCGGCUGACUCAGCCACCAGGUCCAGGUUGCCCCUGCGACCACGGAAGACCAGCGUGAAGCAUCGGUCUGCUGGGAACUCAUCAGCAAUGCUGAGCAGCACCUCAGACUGAUGGCCCUCUCGUAUUGCCUCCACAUCACUCACUGAAACUGGGCACAAAGACCAGCACAGGAUGGAAAAGAUCAUCCCUGAGUCCCGCUCGGUGCUGCUGGCUGCUGCAGAGCUGGAACAGAUCAUAUGGCCCGGGAGCUGCCGCUGUCCUUCUGCAUGCCACGCUGCAGUGACGAAAGCCAGCAACAACUAAAGCCAGAGUCAAC